rnacentral:rRNA from 1 species
AUUGAACGCUGGCGGAAUGCUUUACACAUGCAAGUCGAACGGCAGCACGGGGGCAACCCUGGUGGCGAGUGGCGAACGGGUGAGUAAUACAUCGGAACGUGCCCAAUCGUGGGGGAUAACGUAGCGAAAGCUACGCUAAUACCGCAUACGAUCUACGGAUGAAAGCGGGGGAUCGCAAGACCUCGCGCGAAUGGAGCGGCCGAUGGCAGAUUAGGUAGUUGGUGGGGUAAAGGCUCGCCAAGCCGACGAUCUGUAGCUGGUCUGAGAGGACGACCAGCCAAACGGGGACUGAGACACGGCCCAGACUCCUACGGGAGGCAGCAGUGGGGAAUUUUGGACAAUGGGCGCAAGCCUGAUCCAGCCAUUCCGCGUGCAGGAUGAAGGCCUUCGGGUUGUAAACUGCUUUUGUACGGAACGAAACGGCUCUCUCUAAUACAGGGGGCUAAUGACGGUACCGUAAGAAUAAGCACCGGCUAACUACGUGCCAGCCGCCGCAGUAAAAC